CUUCACCUAAUGUGUUUGCUGUACAUAACAGAAACCUGCUUCACCUGAUGUGUUGCUGUACAUAACAAGACCUGCUUCACCUGAUGGUUGCUGUACAUAACAAGACCUGCUUCACUUGUUGUGUUGCUAUAAUAUAAUUAUAAACACCUCUGGUCUGUAAAUACAGUACAUAUAAACACCUCUGGUCUGUAAAUACAGUACAUUAUAAACACCUCUGGUCUGUAAAUUACAGUACAUUAUAAACACCUCUGGUCUGUAAAUACAGUACAUUAUAAACACCUCUGGUCUGUAAAUACAGUACAUUAUAAACACCUCUGGUCUGUAAAUACAGUACAUUAUAAACCACCUCUGGUUGUAAAAUACAGUACAUUAUAAACACCUCUGGUCUGUAAAUACAGUACAUUUAUAAACACCUCUGGUCUGUAAAUCAUUCUGGAUAAGAGUGGUUUUAUCUGUCAGUCUGCUGAA
rnacentral:lncRNA from 1 species